UACGUAGGUGGCAAGCGUUGUCCGGAAUUAUUGGGCGUAAAGCGCGCGCAGGCGGUUAUGUUAGUCUGAUGUUAAAGGCCGAGGCUCAACCUCGGUUCGCGUUGGAAACUGUGUCACUUGAGUGCAGAAGAGGAAAGUGGUAUUCCACGUGUAGCGGUGAAAUGCGUAGAGAUGUGGAGGAACACCAGGGGCGAAGGCGAGUUUCUGGUCUGUAACUGACGCUGAGGCGCGAAAGCGUGGGGAGCAAACAGG
rnacentral:rRNA from 1 species